rnacentral:rRNA from 1 species
UACGUAGGGCGCAAGCGUUGUCCGGAAUUAUUGGGCGUAAAGAGCUCGUAGGCGGCCUGUUGCGUCCGCUGUGAAAUCCCGGGGCUCAACCCCGGGCGUGCAGUGGAUACGGGCUGGCUAGAGGCAGGCAGGGAGAACGGAAUUCCCGGUGUAGUGGUGAAAUGCGUAGAGAUCGGGAGGAACACCUGUGGCGAAGGCGGCCCCUGGGCCGGCCCUGACACUGAGACGGCGAAGGCGUGGGAGCGAACGGG